GAAUUGACGGGGACCCGCACAAGCGGUGGAGCAUGUGGUUUAAUUCGAAGCAACGCGAAGAACCUUACCAAGUCUUGACAUCCCUCUGACCGGAUCGUAAUGGAUCCUUUCCUUCGGGACAGAGGUGACAGGUGGUGCAUGGUUGUCGUCAGCUCGUGUCGUGAGAUGUUGGGUUAAGUCCCGCAACGAGCGCAACCCUUAUCUUUAGUAGCCAGCAUUUCGGAUGGGCACUCUAGAGAGACUGCCAGGGAUAACCUGGAGGAAGGUGGGGAUGACGUCAAAUCAUCAUGCCCCUUAUGACUUGGGCUACACACGUGCUACAAUGGUGAUAACAAAGAGACGCGAAGUCGUGAGGCGAAGCAAAUCUCAAAAAUGUCAUCUCAGUUCGGAUUGUAGUCUGCAACUCGACUACAUGAAGCUGGAAUCGCUAGUAAUCGCGAAUCAGAAUGUCGCGGUGAAUACGUUCCCGGGUCUUGUACACACCG
rnacentral:rRNA from 1 species